rnacentral:rRNA from 1 species
GACGAACGCUGGCGGCGCGCUUAACACAUGCAAGUCGAACGGAAAGGCCUGCUUUCCCUUGUGGAUUGCGGGUACUCGAGUGGCGAACGGGUGAGUAACACGUGAGUGAUCUGCCCCCAACUUGGGUAUAAGCCUGGGAAACUGGGUCUAAUUCCCGAUAGGACUGCAGGGUGGUGCCUGUGGUGGAAAACGAUUUUCUAGUGGUUGGGGAUGAGCUCGCGGCCUAUCAGCUUGUUGGUGGGGUAAUGGCCUUCCAAGGCGGCGACGGGUAGCCGGCCUGAGAGGGUGGACGGCCACAUUGGGACUGAGAUACGGCCCAGACUCCUACGGGAGGCAGCAGUGGGGAAUAUUGCACAAUGGGCGGAAGCCUGAGGCAGCGACGCCGCGUGGGGGAUGACGGCCUUCGGGUUGUAAACUCCUUUCGACCGCGAGGAAGCCACCUGGUUGGAAGGGUGGUGACGGUAGUGGUAGAAGAAGCACCGGCUAACUACGUG